CCAGAUGAGAGUAAGACCCUGGGUCUAUGUACUUGUGGAAGGACACCCAUGAAGAUUGGGAAGGGGGAAGGAGAGAAAGACUGAGAUGGAAAAUGUCCAAGCCACUGCAAGGCCAGAGGUGGCGAUGACAAACUUCUGGUGUGUCCUACGCAGAGGAACUCUGUUGAGGGCAAGAGGUCCAGUCACAAGUAGCAAGCCACUGCCCAGCUGCUUGAGGAAAACCACUCUCUUGCCCCUGUGGCGCCCAGUGAGGAUGAUCAGGACAGUCCCGGGAGUGAUGCUGGAGCGCAGCCUCCUCACGUGCUGGCUGAAGGGCUUCUUGCCAUGGCUCAGCAGCUUCCGAGAUAGACCUCACUGUGUAGCCAAGGAUGACCUUGAACUUCUCAUUCUCCAGCUCCCAACUUCCACAUGCUAGGACACGGGCAUGUGUCACUGUACCUGUUUUAUGCAGUACUAGGCACUAGUCAGGGCAUCACGGAUGCUUGGCAGAUGUGCUAACUGAACUGCAUAUUAUACCGUUAAUGUUAAAAAGUUCUAGUUUGCUUCUGUUGCUGUGUGUACUGG
rnacentral:lncRNA from 1 species